rnacentral:lncRNA from 1 species
GGAUUACAGGUGCCCACCACCAUGCCCGGCUAGUUUUUAUGUAUGUAUUUUUUAGUAGAGAUGGGGUUUUACCAUGUUGGCCAGGCUGGUCUCAAACUGCUAACCUCAGGUGAUCCACCUACCUCGUAAAUUUUUUAUCUAAAGUCUCCUUUACCUGAUACUAAUAUAGCCAUUCUUACUUUCAUUUUAUUAAGGUUUUCAAGAUGUGUGUUCUUCCAUCCUUUUACUUUCACCCUAUAUAUGUUGUGAUUUUGAAUUCAGUUUCUUAGACACAGCAUUUGAGUCAGCCAGUUUCAUAGUUUUAUGUCUUUUGCCAAAUUUAGGAAGUUUUCUGUAAUUAUUUUUUUCUAAUACUUUUUGAACCCCAUGCCCUCUUC